GGGAGGUAGUGACAAUAAAUAACAAUACAGGGUCCUUAUGGGUCUUGUAAUUGGAAUGAGUACAAUUUAAAUCUCUUAACGAGGAACAAUUGGAGGGCAAGUCUGGUGCCAGCAGCCGCGGUAAUUCCAGCUCCAAUAGCGUAUAUUAAAGUUGUUGCAGUUAAAAAGCUCGUAGUUGAAUUUCGGAAUCAAUACGUCGGUCGUGCCUCUGGUAUGUACUGGUGUUGUUGGUUUCUCCUUUCUGAGGAGCCAUGAUGCCAUUAAUUUGGUGUCGUGGGGAAUCAGGACUGUUACUUUGAAAAAUUAGAGUGUUUAAAGCAGGCACACGCUUGAAUACAUUAGCAUGGAAUAAUGAAAUAGGACGUUCGAUUCUAUUUUGUUGGUUUCUAGGAUCAACGUAAUGAUUAAUAGGGAUAGUUGGG
rnacentral:rRNA from 1 species